UGUAAGGACAAGAUGCUUCAGUAUGGAAAAUUAGGUAUUUGAUAUCUUUGUUAAAAGUCAGAUAUCAUUUAUGGUUGACAGACAAAAACUUAGAGACAUGGAAUGUUAAUAUAUUUAAAACUUUGCCUCAUUUCUACUUUUCUCUACUGAAUAGUAACGCUCAUCCUACCUUAUAGAAGCUUUUUUAUAAGACUUAUUUCUAAACAUUUCAGUUUCAUUCUGACUAGGCAUUUAAUUCAUAAUUUAAAUUGUGAAGUUCAACAUUUCAAUUAUAGAAAUUUAAAUCCUCUUUUAAAGUCAAAAGUGAUAAAAUUGCUUUUGCAUGAUAGUGGUCAUAAUAUGAGAAUGCAAAAAAGGUGCUCUAAGUGAAUUCUGAUCAAUAAUUCCUAGAAAGAAAAAAACUGAAAACCAACUAGGAUUGAAAGAAAGACAUUUAUUGAAUCAAAAUCAAUACUUUAUUUUUAAUAUCUACAAGCCAACACUGAAACUCACUUUAUUCAAGGAUGAACACAAUGUACAAAAAAAAGUAUGCUUAUAUUAUAAAAAUAAGUCAAUUUUAUCUUCUGGGUGCUGAGCAGAAGUCAUUUUAACUAAAAUCAAGGCAAACUUGUUCUUUAUGAUGAAACUGCUGUAAUUUAAUAACAAAAGUGAAAGCUAAUGUGCUCACAAAGUAUUUUUCAAGGCCCACUGAUCCUGCUGCCCUGGCAACGCUGACCCAGUGUCCCCUGCCGUCAACGCUCCCGCUCUGCUCACGGGCACCAGGUCACGCCCACGUCGUGGAAAGUACCGUUUACAGAAGGCAGAACCCACGUGAGUGAGUCUCCAUUCGGCUUCCCUUAACAGUUGUUAGCAUACAUUUCAGCAAAGCAUUAACAGUAUAAUGCAUGUUGAGUAGCAAAAUCCUAUUUAUUUAGUUAGCUUCAAUUUAAAAAUGAGAUACACUGCUAUGGGGAAGAAAUGGCCUCCCAAGAUUUACAAGCAAUUCCAUGUAUGAAUGUGGAAAGCUGCCUCCCUUCACACUCUCCUCCCUAAAAAAUGUAUGUCCAAGGUUGGUACCUAACUUUUUUUGUAAUUUUCUGGCACUUUCCCAGGCACUGCUGGCCUGUGGACUUGGUGGUGGCUGCAGAAAAGUCACAGGCUCGAAAGCCCAGCUUGCGUGGCGAGAGGGACACUCCAACGCUUGCCUUGGAGCAGCAGGAGAAACAGUGAUUGGAAAAGGGAAUAAAAUCGAAUCGUGAGUUCGGAAAAAGGGACCAUGGGUCCCUGUAUUGUAGUUCCAGGAGUUAUGUAACAAAGAGAAAAACCAGACUAAUUUAAACAGUCAAAACAGAAGUACAUUAAAUAGCAUCAGUGGUGAUAAUGCCAAGAAAAUCCAAUCUUUUCAAGAGCUUGCACACAGCGGCGUCCUGGCAGAGCAAAAUGACAGCAGCACCCGGGCAAAUGCCAGAAUGCAGCAUCCACACAGUUUGUAAGUUAUUAAACAAACUGUAAAUUCCCUAUUUUGAGGAGUCUGUAUGUCUUCCCUUGACAGAUUCUUUCUGACCUUGGGAUUGACAGUGAUGAAGGUUCAAAAUUGCAAAAUACAAGGUGUCCCACCGGACUGGCUAAAUUAAAUUCCAAAGACUUGGGAGAGAGGUGCUUCCCUGUUUUGCCUACAUAAACCUAACGUUACCUUAGUCCCAAGUUCUGUGAAACAGAUGACGUGCCUGGUGCCACAGCGAACCUUCUGUAUCUAGCAGCAGUGUCAUCAGCCCUGGGCCUCCCAUGGGCUCCCAUCAAAACAACUUCAUAAAGCAUGCAGAUAAUCAUCUAUUCUGCUGAAGUUUCAAAAACAAAUAAAAAUGAUCAUUGUG